rnacentral:misc_RNA from 1 species
GAUUGAAGAACGUAGCGAAAUGCGAUAAGUAAUGCGAAUUGCAGAAUUCAGUGAAUCAUCGAAUCUUUGAACGCACAUUGCGCCCGCCAGUAUUCUGGCGGGCAUGCCUGUCUGAGCGUCGUUUCGACCCUCGCGCCCGGCUUCUGUCGGGGGCGGUGUUGGGGAUCGGCCACACCCUUCAGUGGGAGGCCGGCCCCUAAAUUCAGUGGCGACCACGCUGUAGCCUCCCCUGCGUAGUACUAAAACCACCUCGCAGGCGGAGAGCGGUGCGGCCCGCCGUAAAACCCCCCAACUUUUACAAGGUCGACCUCAGAUCAGGUAGGAAUACCCGCUGAACUUAAGCAUAUCAAUAAGCGGAGGA